UACGUAGGGUGCGAGCGUUAAUUGGAAUUACUGGGCGUAAAGCGUGCGCAGGCGGCGCCGCAAGUCAGGCGUGAAAUCCCCGAGCUUAACUUGGGAAUGGCGCUUGAAACUACGGUGCUGGAGUGUGGCAGAGGGAGGUGGAAUUCCACGUGUAGCGGUGAAAUGCGUAGAGAUGUGGAGGAACACCGAUGGCGAAGGCAGCCUCCUGGGCCAACACUGACGCUCAUGCACGAAAGCGUGGGGAGCAAACAGG
rnacentral:rRNA from 1 species